CCUACGGGAGGCAGCAGUGGGGAAUAUUGGGCAAUGGGCGCAAGCCUGACCCAGCAACGCCGCGUGAAGGAAGAAGGCUUUCGGGUUGUCAACUUCUUUUUAGAGGGAAGAGCAGAAGACGGUACCUCUUGAAUAAGCUACGGCUAACUACGUGCCAGCAGCCGCGUUAAUACGUAGGUGCCAAGCGUUGUCCGGAUUUACUGGGUGUAACGGGCGUGCAGCCGGGAAGACAAGUCAGGUGUGAAAUCCCGCGGCUCAACCGCGGAACUGCAUUUGAAACUGUUUUUCUUGAGUACCGGAGAGGUCAGCGGAAUUCCUGGUGUAGCGGUGAAAUGCGUAGAUAUAAGGAAGAACACCAGUGGCGAAGGCGGAUGACUAGACGGCAACUGACGGUGAGGCGCGAAAGCGUGGGGAGCAAACAGGAUUAGAUACCCCAGUAGUC
rnacentral:rRNA from 1 species